rnacentral:misc_RNA from 1 species
UUAAGUUCAGCGGGUAGUCCUACCUGAUUUGAGGUCAAAUGACAUGUGUAUAUGCUUGUCUUUCGACAGUUAGAAGCAAUCUCGAUCAUGAUCUUAAACAAUGCUUUUUCUUAUCACAUUGUGUGUGAUCAAAGGCAGAUCGCUAAUGCAUUUAGGAUGAGUUGUGAUCUCACAACAACACCCAGAUCCAAUUUCAAACA